rnacentral:lncRNA from 1 species
UCAGGACACUGGGUUCCCUACGAGCUGCCCCAGGCUUAAUGAUUGUCCAGAAGGUGGCUAUAAAGGGAGCCUGGGAGGCUGGGUGGAGGAGGGAACAGAGAAAGCCUAACUCAGCAGAUCUGGUCACUGAGAGAGCCACAGGCAGGAGCUGUGGUCGGAGGCUUCGUGUCUUGGCCAGUGGGGCCUGCUCCCUUCCACCAUGGCCGCCCAAGGCUACGGCUAUUACCGCGCUGUGAUCUUCUCAGCCAUGUUUGGAGGCUACAGCCUGUACUACUUCAACCGCAAGACCUUCUCCUUUGUCAUGCCAUCGUUGGUGGAGGAGAUCCCUCUGGACAAGGACGACUUGGGUGAGCCACGGAAGGGCAGGGUGGUGGGCCCUGGGACCCAGGACCCGUAGGACAAGUUGGUGUUGGUGGCAGUGUUGUGCAUAAAGGCACGUAGCGUGUGUGGAGCGUCUGCACAGUGGAGGGUAGGGAGAGUCGGCACACGCCGACCGGACUCUGAAAACCAUACGCCUGGCUGUGGGCUAAGCACCAGGAGUGUCGUCGAUACGCGUCUGAGGAGGGCUGCCUAUGUGAUGUGUCUUUGUGUGCCUGUGACCCACACGUGCCCCCACAGGUCUGGCUUAUUCCGAGUAUGUUUAGGGGGCUUCUGGGCAUGGUUUCCACACCUCGUGGGUGCGUGCUAAGACCACAGGGUGCACGCUGGCCACUGACGUCGUAAGCAAUGGGAACUGGAGACUUGGCACAGAAACUUCACGUGGCCCCGCACGCUACAUUUCAGGGGGAAUAACGUCCUUGAUUCCAAUUCUAAGCUCUUUGCCCCAUGCCCAGAGGUGGGGGUGACGGAACUGCUAGAAGCCCUGGGUCGGCAUCCAGGGUGAGGAGGAAAUGUAAUCAGGCAUGGGUAGAUCCCAGGGUGGGGCUGCCCUGUUCUCCCCUUCUUGCCCCCUGACAGCUGCAGCUGGAACUCUCCAGGUUGAAAAGUCAAGGGUCAGCCUGGGGCUAGCGCCGGCGGUGAGGAGGGGUAGCGGCGCCCCUGAAAGGGUGCUGGGAUUCCAACACAGGCUGCUUCUGGUCCCCUUGGAAGGAACCUAUCUCACCCUGCCAGGCACCUCUACACACGUGACCCCAUGCCUUCCUCCAUCCCUCCUGUGCCCUUGCCCUGGCCCCUAACCCCCUAGGUGUGCUGCUUCCUGCUCCCCUCCCCUGCAGGGCUCAUCACCAGCAGCCAGUCGGCAGCCUACGCCAUCAGCAAGUUUGUGAGCGGGGUGCUGUCUGACCAGAUGAGUGCCCGCUGGCUCUUCUCUUCUGGGCUGCUUCUGGUCGGCCUGGUCAACGUAGUCUUUUCCUGGAGCUCCAUGGUACCUGUCUUUGCUGCUCUCUGGUUCCUCAAUGGCCUGGCACAGGGGCUGGGCUGGCCUCCCUGUGGGAAGAUCCUGCGGAAGGUGAGUGUCUGCUCCCAAGAAGCCAGUUGAGACUGGCCGAGGGGAUACCUACAGGGCAUGUGGGAGUACCAGCACUCCCAUCCCCGAGCGGGUUCCUCGGGAGUUCCAGUCCAACUCCUGUUGCUCGUCGAGAUAUUUUAGGAGCUAAACAUGGUGGGAUCAGGUGGCAGAUGAGGGAAUUGGCCCUGCCAAGUAGAGGCGCCCUCUUCCUCGUCCCUGUAAUGUGAGCUUCUAGGUCUGCCCCUGCCCCACCUGACCCUCACCUUCAACAUGUUUAAUGUGGGCACCUACUCUGAACCCUCUGCCCCACAGUGGUUUGAGCCAUCUCAGUUUGGCACCUGGUGGGCCAUUCUGUCAACCAGCAUGAACCUGGCUGGAGGGCUGGGCCCUAUCCUGGCAACCAUCCUCGCCCAGAGCUAUAGCUGGCGCAGCACGCUGGCCCUGUCUGGGGCGCUCUGUGUAGUUGUCUCCUUCCUCUGUCUCCUGCUCAUCCACAAUGAACCCGCUGACGUUGGGCUCCGGAACCUGGACCCCGCCCCCUCCAAGGACAAGAAGGGUGAGCACGCACCCAGGCCGAAUCACUGGGGCACCUUCAUCCACCAUUCAUUUGGCAGACUUUCAUUGAGGUCUGGCUGUAUGCCUGGCCCUGUGCUAGCCGAUGGAGGCAGGGGGAGGGAUGGUGGUGGCAAGUUGGUGGGGAGUAAAUAAAACUCCGUUCCAAGAGACACUUAAGUACCAGACAAGCGGCAGAGCCAACAAAUGCUGUGUGACUCAUGUUAUAUCCCGGUCCUUCCUCACAGCAGAGCCAGACUUCCCUGUCCUGUCCUGGACAGCAUCCUAAGCUUAAGUGGCUUGGGUGCCUUCCUCCAUGUGCCCUGGUCCCGGUUUCAUUUGCUGAGGCCUGUAGUGGAGGGGACAGGGUAGAACAGUGGGUGAAGGGGUGCCUUCCUGCUGGUCCCUGGCUGUGUGGAUGGACUGUGGCCCUGUGGCUGGUUAAUGAGUGGUGGGGGCUCAGUCGGGGCAGAGCAGCAAGAGUGGAGCCUCAGGCCUGGCCUCCUCCUGCCCCCAGGCUCCUCGAAGGAGGAGAGUACUCUACAGGAGCUGCUGCUGUCCCCCUACCUGUGGGUACUCUCCACGGGCUACCUCGUGGUAUUUGGAGUAAAGACCUGCUGUACUGACUGGGGCCAGUUCUUCCUCAUCCAGGAGAAAGG